AACCCGACGGACCAGUGGCACAGAAAAGAUACCGCCUUUGGACUCGCACGAGUCGGAGGGUAAGGGUGAAAAGGUGCGGUAAGAGCGCACCGCGCGGCUGGUAACAGGCGUGGCAGGCAAAACCCCACCCGGAGCAAGGCCAAAUAGGGAGGCGCUCGAGGACGGCCCGUCCGAAGCCUCCGGGUAGGCCGCUCGAUCCCGCCAGCAAUGGCGGGGCUAGAGGAAUGAUCGUCGUC
rnacentral:RNase_P_RNA from 1 species